rnacentral:rRNA from 1 species
AGCAUGUGGUUUAAGUUCGUACGCAACGCGCAGAACCUUACCUGGGCUUGACAUCCCGAUCGCACUUUCUGGAAACAGAGAGGUCAGUUCGGCUGGAUCGGUGACAGGUGCUGCAUGGCUGUCGUCAGCUCGUGUCGUGAGAUGUUGGGUUAAGUCCCGCAACGAGCGCAACCCUCGUCCUUAGUUGCCAGCAUUAAGUUGGGCACUCUAAGGAGACUGCCGGUGUUAAACCGGAGGAAGGCGGGGAUGACGUCAAGUCCUCAUGGCCCUUAUGUCCAGGGCUACACACGUGCUACAAUGGCCGGUACAAAGGGUAGCAAGACCGCGAGGUGGAGCCAAUCCCAAAAAGCCGGUCUCAGUUCGGAUUGGAGUCUGCAACUCGACUCCAUGAAGUUGGAAUCGCUAGUAAUCGUGGAUCAGCAUGCCACGGUGAAUACGUUCCCGGGCCUU